GUUUUUUUUUAACAACUUCAAAAUUACAAAAAAAAAAAAAAAAGUUUCGAAACUAAACACUUUUGAACACAUUCAAUGACAAACUAUCAUUGACUCGUUACAACCGCGGGUAAUACCUAUAUAACCGUAUAACCUAACAGUAAAUGUUUUGGUGUAUUAAAAGCCAUAUUAAAAAAAAACUCACGGACUGAAUUAAAAGCCCAACUAACAGUAAAUAUUUUUUUCCAAACUUAUCCCUGACAUAACCUAACCAAGCCCAAGACCAUUCACUGUCUUUGCCUUUUUCUGUCGCAUAUGGGGCUUUUGGUGUUGCCUCAUUUUCCACACCCACCACUGUCAGUUAGUUUUUUUAUUUUUUAUUUUUGUUGUUUUGUCUAUGUGUGUCUGUGUCUGUGUUUUCAAAGUUGCUGAGUAAUUGUAUGUUCUGUCAGGGGUAAAUUUGGAAAAAACAUUUACGCUAUCAAGUCCUUUUUUUUUUUUUUGUUUUUUUAAUUUCGAACACUUGCGAUAAUAUUUUUUUUUUAAUUUUUACAUAUAUUAAGUUAAAUGGUUAAAUGAAUACUCGUAUAACCGUGAGUAAUAUCCAUAACCAAUGAAUAUCCGUUAUAAUCAUGAAUAAUACCCAUAGCCGUCCAUUUCAAUUUCACGGAUAAACGGUUAUACCCAUAACCGUUUAUUUGUCUAAACGGUUACCCAUAACCAUAACCGUAAAUUUUAAAUAGACGGAUAACCACAGUUAUCCAAAUUCAUAGUUAUUUUGCCCAUCCCCAGUACUUACUCAUUUUUUUUGUUUGCCCAGUUUGUCCAUUUUGAUUUUGUGAUUGCGUUCGAAUGGGGUUGAGUUGAUGGCCUCAAAUGACUCCUCAUCAUCUUCGGCAUCUUCUAGAACUAUUGCAUGGGAAAGUCUGCUUCAGAUGGAGUUCUCGUUUAAAUUGGGUUUUAUUAAGUUUUUCAUGUUUUUGUAGAAUUCUUAGUUUCAAUAUUUUUCUUUUGCUGUGAUUCCAUUUUAUCUGAAUCAUCAUUUAAUUUAUGAGAUUUUUAAUGUAAUUUUAUAUGAAUUUUAGUAAUUUUUCUGAGUUUUGUAUAAAUCGUCGAUUAAUUUCUGGAUGGUUAUUAAUUUUAUGUUUUUUAUUGAAUUUGUUUUCAGAAAACUACAAGUAAAACAUCUUUAAUUAGUCGUCAGUUUUCAUGUUUUGAACAUCGUUUAUGCAAGCUAUUAUAUCUCAAUGUUCGAAUUUUUGAACUUUGUCUUUAUUUUGUAGGGAUUUCUGUAUAGAGAAGAGAAUUGUUUUGUUUACGUCUCACUAAAACUGGCAAGUAAUAGAGGCAGUCAUACUCUCAUGCAGCUAUGCUUAGAAGGUGGUACUGAAAUUGGAUUUACACGAGGACAAAGAAAAGCAAGAGGCCUUGAAAGCAGUCUCCAGCCUUAGAGGCACAUUCAUCAGAAUCGGACUGAAUGGGAAUGGAAAUUUGUCCAUUUUUAUGUUUUUAUAGAAGAAGAAGAAGCUCAGAAGUCUGAUACGUAAAGCAACUCCAUCUGAAAGCGGAAGAAUCCAAAGGAACUGUGACCCAGUGGCUGGAUAGAAGAAAAGGACAACGCAUGCUCUCUCUCUCACAGUAGCUCCAUGUUCCUCUCCCCCCCAAACCUAAUGGCUUUGGCCCAAUUUGGAACCUGCUUGGAUCGGGACCCCUUGGAGAUUUGGAGCUCCAGAUGAGAAAAUUUUCCCCAAAUUGUAUUCAAUUCAUGUUGCUUCAUUUCGUUUUCCAUUUUUAAUUUGGAAUUGGUUGAUAUUUUAGGCGGGUAUCGCAUGUAUAACCAGAACAAUAUUUGUGUUGGAUUGGGUUCAAAUUGUCCAACUUUAUUAGCUAUUUGGUUGCCUGUGUAUUUGUAAUCUGAAUAAUAUGAAUUAGGGUUUUUCUGUUA